GAUUUCGACUGAAAAAGUCAAAAGUUGUAUAACUCAUCAAUAUCUAUAACUUUUAUUUUAGUAAUUUCUUCAUUCGACAAAGUGCUACUAACAUUUUUCACAAAAUUUAUAUAUCUGUAUUAUAGUUUAUAAAACCAUAUAAGAGGUAUGUAAAUUUUAUGAACAAUGCUACUACUGCUUUGUCAGAUGAAAAAAUAGACAAAAUAAAAGUUAUAGAUAUUGAUAAGUUAUAUAACUGUGUUGUUCAUGACUUUUUUAGUUAAAAUC
rnacentral:pre_miRNA from 1 species